UGGGGAAUAUUGGACAAUGGGCGAAAGCCUGAUCCAGCCAUGCCGCGUGUGUGAAGAAGGUCUUCGGAUUGUAAAGCACUUUAAGUUGGGAGGAAGGGCAGUAAGCUAAUACCUUGCUGUUUUGACGUUACCGACAGAAUAAGCACCGGCUAACUCUUGCCA
rnacentral:rRNA from 1 species